GCAGUAGAGAGAGAGAGAGAGAGAGAGAGAGAGAGGCAUUCCAAGUUUUCUGGUAAAAUAAAAUUCCAAGGUCCAAGGCUUUGUAGCCAAAUCCAAAAAAAAGAAAAAGAAAAAAGAAGGCUUUGUAGCCAAUCAGUGCCUUUCAUUUAGGACAAUUUAUUAAUUUCUCUCUCAACGUGAAAAAUAUUAGAAAUCAAAAAAUAUCUUAUUACGUUCUUGACCGACUUGCAAGGCUGACUUCUCUCUUUCUCUCUCUCUCCACAGGUUAUGAUGCAUGUCAGCAGGCUGUGCUAAUGAGCUCUGGCUCAAGUGGCACUUCCUCCCUUAAAAGGGGUGGAGGAUAAGGUUGCAAGUUCAAAACUCCCCAGAUGCCAACAAUGAGUUUAUGGGGGAAACUAUGGAAUGAAAUAACCAUAGUUGGUCCUCAUUGUGUUGUUUCUUCUAAGCAUAAUUACUACGAGGAUAUAUAGGCUUUCAAUCCGUAAUAAUUUUGAAGCAUUAAAGCAGGAUGAACCUUGAGAGGUCAAAGUGGUUUCUGAUUGUGCAGUGUAGGUGGGAUUGGAGGGAUUGAUGACUGGUGGACAUAUCAAUGCUAGUUUAAGUUUGGAUGUUGUUGUUCACAGUUUUCAAAUGUGGAGUGUACUGUUGUCUAUUGGGGAGACGACUUUUUGGAUGAGUUCAGUAAUUUGGGGUUUGCCCUCUACAAUCGGUUGGUGUAAUUCUUUUCAAUGGAUCUGAAAUAAUAAUUCUAGAUGUUAAGGUGAUGCAUUUUAACUGUUUCAGUGUUUUCAACUUUUAAAUAAAGUUUGUAAUUGCAAUUCAUGGAAUUCAGGGGCUAGAUUUGAUUACAUGUCUUUUUGCUGCAAAAACUGAAAGUCUUCUGCUGCCUGAGAGUUGUGGGAGAGGCCCCUGAUUAUCAACAUUGUUGGGCUGUUGUUUUUGUUUUCCUAUUCUGUUCUCAAGGAAAAUACAUGAUGGGAUCAGAUGUAUAAUCUGCAUCAAAUGAAACUUUCUUCUCCCAUAAAAAUGAGGAGGAUGAGGUUGUGGAUUCAAAACUCGCUACGUGUUUGUGGAACUUACUAAUGAUAUACAAUAUCUUAAUCAAAUGUAACAUAAUCAUUUUUGAGCCCACUACCUGAUACAUGUAUUCAUGAUUCUUGUUAACCUCCUAUCAUUUUGAUUUUGACAAAAAGAUUUUGUCGGCCAAAAUGUCGCCAUUAUUUUA